CCCCAGACUCCUACGGGAGGCAGCAGUGGGGAAUAUUGCACAAUGGGGGAAACCCUGAUGCAGCAACGCCGCGUGAGUGAAGAAGUAUUUCGGUAUGUAAAGCUCUAUCAGCAGGGAAGAAAAUGACGGUACCUGAGUAAGAAGCCCCGGCUAACUACGUGCCAGCAGCCGCGGUAAUACGUAGGGGGCAAGCGUUAUCCGGAUUUACUGGGUGUAAAGGGAGCGUAGACGGCGAUGCAAGUCUGAAGUGAAAGCCCGGGGCUCAACCCCGGGACUGCUUUGGAAACUGUAUGGCUGGAGUGCUGGAGAGGCAAGCGGAAUUCCUAGUGUAGCGGUGAAAUGCGUAGAUAUUAGGAGGAACACCAGUGGCGAAGGCGGCUUACUGGACAGUAACUGACGUUGAGGCUCGAAAGCGUGGGGAGCAAACAGGAUUAGAUACCCUAGUA
rnacentral:rRNA from 1 species